GUCCAGGGCGUUAUAGGUGAGCAUACACCAAAGUUUAGAAUGUCGAGCAAAAAUACUUCCUUUAUCUCUUGACAUCUCCAUUGGAAAUACUUCCUUUAUUUUUUAUUUUAUAAAUUUUCGAGUGAUAUUACUGAUUUAACAUACACAAAGUACGUAAUUACAUGUGAAUAUUUUAUGUAAUUGGCCAAGAAUGAACGAAGAAGAAGUAGAAGCCUAGAAGGAUUUCAGAAGGUUCGCACUACAGAAUUUAUAUAACUCAAUGCCCAAUUACCAAAGACUAAAACCUCAUCAUUUAUGGAGAAUCAAUCUACGAUAUUGUAAAUUGUGAUGAAAGUACCAAGACAUGGACACAUUCUUGAUAAGAAGAUAAUUAUCUGAAAUAGUUCAUGAGAGACGGAAUUAAGAUAUGAAUAUUUUAUGUAAUUGGCCAAAUGACAGACGAACAUAUGUAGGGGCGUUUGUUGCGCCGGACUGUUUCGGACUGGACUAGCUGCAGGGACUAAGCUGGACUGGCUUAGACUAGACUAAGCUGGACUAACUUAGUGAAGCGUUUGGUACAGUGUCGGACUAAGAAGCAGGAUAAUAAAAACAGUACUGUUCAUCAGAUUUGUGUUUGCUUACACUAGAACUACAAAUUUUUGCCAUUGUGUAAUAAAGUAAUGCUACAAAUGUCAUGAGAAGAUACUUGUGUAAUAGAGUAAUCCUAAACUUUAUGCAAUAAAAUCGAACAUUAACUAAUGAUAGUUUUCUUGGAUUAUAGAGUUUAAGAAAACGGAACUCAUAUUAGAUAUUUGUCUGAAGCAAGUAAAAUUGCCAUGGAAAAUGUCACUUAAGUUCUUCACGUGCAUGAUAUAUGGUGUUCUGGUUCUCUGUUGGGUGAAGAUGACUAGGAUCCAAUGGUGGUAGGGUUUUGAAGGAAGGGGAAACGUGAGUACUAAGACUUUGGUUUCAAGAAUCCUCCAAGUGUACCCAACAAACCUUGCUCAAAAGAAAAGAAAAUAGAAAAGCAUGGUAAUUAAACAGGCUAUAAGGGGCCAUCUCUUUUUCCAUGUGGCAUAAUUCAUAGCUGACUAGAUUAACAAGCAAGAGCAAGUACAUAAGAAGAUCUCCAUAAUUUACAAAAUACCAGUGAACUAUAGUAUACCAUUCAAAAGUAGAUCUCCAUAAUUUACAAACUCCUAGUUAACAUUAGCCAAAAUACUUCAUAGUGGAAAGCUAAGUUAUAAGUCAUAACCUAAGAUUGUACGAUUAAUAAAAUACAUCCAUAUCAAAAGACACCACAUAAUAUACUCAUCCGCUUGCUUUGUCGCUUAAAAGCCUUUGGACAAACACUUUCUUGAGUUCCGGUUUGAUUGCCCUGAACACUCCCACAUUUUUUGGUUUAUCCAAAAUAAGAGACAAUGCAUCAAUUUGAUCCAUAGGAGAAAGACCCAUUUCUUCAAGUUCGUUAGCUAUGUCACUAUGAUCUGCAGUACCUUGAACUAAAGCUUCAGUUACCAUUUGCAUCAUCUUCCCACUUUCAACAUAAAAUUCUUUCAGUCCACUGAUAAUUGCCUCG
rnacentral:lncRNA from 1 species